rnacentral:lncRNA from 1 species
UCAGUGAUCUCAAAUCAAAAGACCCCAGGUCAAUCAUUUGUAUGGUUGUGGAGAAAUACUGAUUUCAAAUACAUAAGGGGAGAAAACUCCUAUAAGGGUUAACCAAAACACUUCGACUGAAAUAGACUGAAGUUGCGCCUUUUUGUAAACAGCAAUUUGGCAAACAAAUCAUAUCAUUUACUGUAACAGUUUCUUUUGAAUAACGAUAACAAGCAAAAUUCAAAAAUUUAUAACAUGACCUUGACCUUCGACCUUGAACUCAAUUUCAAGGUCAUAGGUCAGUGAACACAAAACGGAAGACCGGAGGUCAAUCACUUGUAUGGUUGUGGAGAAAUACUGAUUUGAAAUACAUAAGGGGAGAAAACUCCUAUAAGGGUUAACCAAAACACUUUGACUGAAAUAGGUUGAAGUUGCGCCUUAUUGUAAACAGUUAUUUGGCAAACACAUCAUAUCAUUUACUGUCACAGUUUCUGUGGUAUAACGAUAACAAGCAAAAUUCAAAAUUUAGAACAUGACCUUGACCUUUGACCUUGACCUCAAUUUCCUUCAAAUGGACCAAGGACUUCAUAUCAAAAGACUUUAGGCCUCUACGACUUAUAACGUAUGAAUUGAUCCAACAAAUCGCUUAUCUUAAAUUUUCAAAGGGAAAUAACUCCCAUAAGAUGUCUUCCGAUCACUAAAGUCAAAAUAAACCAAAUCAUUCUCAAGAGUAGACGAACAAUUUGGUGAAAACAGUUUGCUAAAAUCUUUUACGGUUUUAGAGAUAUAGCGAUAACAAGAAAAGGGGACGCGGGGAGAUAACUCCUAUAAGAAUAAGCGUUCGGUCACACAGGAUGAGUUUUGAAACCUCCAUUACUGUACAACAUCAUUGGCCAAAAAUCCAUUCGAUAUGUUGUAAGACAAAAAAGCAUGUCAGACGGCAGAAAAAAAAAAAUAAUCAGAAGAAAAACAAAAGGUCUUUCCACGAAAAGUGGAAAGACCUAAUAAUA